rnacentral:rRNA from 1 species
UGUAAAGCGGGGGAAUAACCCGUUGAAAGAACGGACUAUAACCGCAUAAUACUAAAUUACUGCAUGGUAAUUUAUUUAAACAUUUAAUGGCUUUACAGAUGGGCAUGCGCAUGAUUAGCUAGUUGGAGAGGUAACGGCUCCCCAAGGCAACGAUCAUUAGGGGUUCUGAGAGGAAGGUCCCCCACACUGGUACUGAGACACGGACCAGACUCCUACGGGAGGCAGCAGUGAGGAAUAUUGGUCAAUGGACGAGAGUCUAGAACCAGCCAAGUCGCGUGCAGGAAGAAUGUUACCCUUAUGGAUUAGUAAACUGUCUUUUGCAGGGGAAUAAAGUGCAUCACGUGUGAUGUUUUGUAUGUACUCUGCGAAUAAGGAUCGGCUAACUCCGUGCCAGCCGCCGC